GGGUUGUGAGGUUAAGCGACUAAGCGUACACGGUGGAUGCCCUGGCAGUCAGAGGCGAUGAAGGACGUGCUAAUCUGCGAUAAGCGUCGGUAAGGUGAUAUGAACCGUUAUAACCGGCGAUUUCCGAAUGGGGAAACCCAGUGUGUUUCGACACACUAUCAUUAACUGAAUCCAUAGGUUAAUGAGGCGAACCGGGGGAACUGAAACAUCUAAGUACCCCGAGGAAAAGAAAUCAACCGAGAUUCCCCCAGUAGCGGCGAGCGAACGGGGAGCAGCCCAGAGCCUGAAUCAGUGUGUGUGUUAGUGGAAGCGUCUGGAAAGGCGCGCGAUACAGGGUGACAGCCCCGUACACAAAAAUGCACAUGCUGUGAGCUCGAUGAGUAGGGCGGGACACGUGGUAUCCUGUCUGAAUAUGGGGGGACCAUCCUCCAAGGCUAAAUACUCCUGACUGACCGAUAGUGAACCAGUACCGUGAGGGAAAGGCGAAAAGAACCCCGGCGAGGGGAGUGAAAAAGAACCUGAAACCGUGUACGUACAAGCAGUGGGAGCAUGCUUAGGCGUGUGACUGCGUACCUUUUGUAUAAUGGGUCAGCGACUUAUAUUCUGUAGCAAGGUUAACCGAAUAGGGGAGCCGAAGGGAAACCGAGUCUUAACUGGGCGUUAAGUUGCAGGGUAUAGACCCGAAACCCGGUGAUCUAGCCAUGGGCAGGUUGAAGGUUGGGUAACACUAACUGGAGGACCGAACCGACUAAUGUUGAAAAAUUAGCGGAUGACUUGUGGCUGGGGGUGAAAGGCCAAUCAAACCGGGAGAUAGCUGGUUCUCCCCGAAAGCUAUUUAGGUAGCGCCUCGUGAAUUCAUCUCCGGGGGUAGAGCACUGUUUCGGCAAGGGGGUCAUCCCGACUUACCAACCCGAUGCAAACUGCGAAUACCGGAGAAUGUUAUCACGGGAGACACACGGCGGGUGCUAACGUCCGUCGUGAAGAGGGAAACAACCCAGACCGCCAGCUAAGGUCCCAAAGUCAUGGUUAAGUGGGAAACGAUGUGGGAAGGCCCAGACAGCCAGGAUGUUGGCUUAGAAGCAGCCAUCAUUUAAAGAAAGCGUAAUAGCUCACUGGUCGAGUCGGCCUGCGCGGAAGAUGUAACGGGGCUAAACCAUGCAC
rnacentral:rRNA from 1 species